AGUGGGGAAGUAUUGCACAAUGGGGGAAACCCGUCGAUGCAGCCAUGCCGCGUGUGUGAGAAGGCUCGGGUUGUAAAGCACUUUCAGUAGGGAGGAAGGUAGUGUAGUUAACACCUGCAUAUUUGACGUUACCUACAGAAGAAGCACCGGCUAACUCCGUGCCAGCAGCCGCGGUAAUACGGAGGGUGCGAGCGUUAAUCGGAAUUACUGGGCGUAAAGCGCAUGCAGGCGGCCUGUUAAGUCAGAUGUGAAAGCCCGGGGCUUAACCUCGGAAUUGCAUUUGAAACUGGCAGGCUAGAGUCUUGUAGAGGGGGGUAGGAAUUUCAGGUGUAGCGGUGAAAUGCGUAGAGAUCUGAAGGAAUACCAGUGGCGAAGGCGGCCCCCUGGACAAAGACUGACGCUCAGAUGCGAAAGCGUGGGGAGCAAACAGGAUUAGAUACCCUGGUAG
rnacentral:rRNA from 1 species